rnacentral:rRNA from 1 species
CCUACGGGGAGCAGCAGUGAGGAAUAUUGGUCAAUGGCCGAGAGGCUGAACCAGCCAAGUCGCGUGAGGGAAGAAUGUCCUAUGGAUUGUAAACCUCUUUUGUCAGGGAGCAAAGUCACCCACGUGUGGGUGUUGGAGAGUACCUGAAGAAAAAGCAUCGGCUAACUCCGUGCCAGCAGCCGCGGUAAUACGGAGGAUGCGAGCGUUAUCCGGAUUUAUUGGGUUUAAAGGGUGCGUAGGCGGGUUAUCAAGUCAGCGGUAAAAUCGUGGAGCUCAACUCCAUCCAGCCGUUGAAACUGAUGAUCUUGAGUCCGCGGAAAGCAGGCGGAAUUCGUCGUGUAGCGGUGAAAUGCUUAGAUAUGACGAAGAACCCCGAUUGCGAAGGCAGCUUGCUGCAGCGGAACUGACGCUGAUGCUCGAAAGCGCGGGUAUCGAACAGGAUUAGAUACCCGUGUAGUC